ensembl:lncRNA
UCUUGGCAAAGUCAGAAGGCACUAAAAACCUGGCUGGAAUAAAAUUUUGUGGGUAGAAAUUCUGAGGCAGGUUCCAAUACAGGUAAAGCCUUCCUUUCUCCGGCAACGGGGGAAAAGAGACAAGCCUGGAAGAGGUUUUCUACAACCAGUUUCAGUUUACUAAGAAGAAAGUACUACCAUACGAAUAUAUGGAGAAGGACAAGUCUGCUGAAAUCUUCUGAAUUGAGGAUUUUGCAAACAUAAUUAGACUCAGAUUUCGAAUAGAAACAACAAAAAGAAAAAGAUACAUGAGGAACGUAUAUACGUUAAUCAGCCAUACACAGUACUCUAAAAUAGCUGAAGAGCAAUGUUAUGCUCUACCAUGCAAAGAGCCUGGACUGUUCCUGUCACUUACCCACUCUAGGCCACUAAAACGAAGGUGAUAACACCUGCCUGGCUGGUUCUGAGAAAGAGAGAAGAUGGAUAAUGUGUGUGAAGGACCUGUCACAAUCCCAGGUACACAGUAAGUGCUUAACAAAGUGUAACUCUGAUCAUCAAAAUACCUGCUAGGACAUUACCUGCCUUAUCCUCUUUUAUGUCGUAAAUUUCCCUUCUCUUCCAUCCACAGAAU